GCCGGGUGUGGUGGCGGGCACCUGUAAUCCCAGCUACACAGGAGGCUGAGGCAGGAGAAUUGCUUGAACCUGGGAGGCAGAGGUUGCAGUGAGCCAAGAUCGUGCCACUGCACUCCAGCCUGGGUGACAAAGCGAGACUCCGUCUCCA
ensembl:misc_RNA Metazoa_SRP Metazoan signal recognition particle RNA